rnacentral:rRNA from 1 species
AACGAACGCUGGCGGCGUGCUUAACACAUGCAAGUCGAACGCGAACGGGUUCUUCGGGACCUUAGUAGAGUGGCGCACGGGUGAGUAACGCGUAAGUUAUCUACCUCGGCAUCUGGAAUAACUCACCGAAAGGUGUGCUAAUACCGGAUACGUUGAGUAAUCAAGCAAGGUGGCCUCUCUUUGCUGCUACCGUGCUGAGAUGAGCUUGCGUACCAUUAGCUAGUUGGUGGGGUAAUGGCCUACCAAGGCGACGAUGGUUAGCGGGUCUGAGAGGAUGAUCCGCCACACUGGAACUGGAACACGGACCAGACUCCUACGGGAGGCAGCAGUGAGGAAUAUUGCGCAAUGGGGGCAACCCUGACGCAGCGACGCCGCGUGGAUGAUGAAGGCCUUCGGGUCGUAAAAUCCUGUCAGGUGGAAAGAAAUGUAUAUGUGCUAAUACCAUGUAUACUUGACGGUACCACCGAAGGAAGCACCGGCUAACUCCGUGCCAGCCGCCGCGGUAA